GUGAAAACUGCAUAAAAUGCACAGAGUAUGAAUGGCCAAACAUGGAGCAAGAUCGAUGCAUUCCCAAAUUAGUGGAGUUUCUCUCCUACACGGAAGAUGUGUUGACUGCAAUAUUGGCAUCAAUCUCAGUUCUGUUUUGCUUGUUAACCAUAUUAAUAAUAUUUAUUUUUAUUUCAUUUUGGGAAACACCACUUGCCAAAGCCAAUAACAGGAACCUCAGCUUAAUUCUCCUUGUCUCCAUCAUGCUGAGCUAUCUCUGUGUGUUUUUAUUCCUUGGACGUCCUGUGGAUAUAACCUGCAUUCUCCGUCAAAUAUCUUUUGCAAUCAUCUUCUCGGUAGCUGUGUCAACUGUAUUGGCCAAAACAAUCAUGGUUUAUAUUGCUUUCAAAGCCGCCAAACCAAACAGUGUGUGGAAAAAGUGGAUUGGAGUCAAACUGUCCAAUACUAUAGUCGUGUUCUUUUCCUCUGUUCAAGUUACAAUUAGUAUAAUUUGGUUGACUAUUUCUCCCCCCUUUCAGGAGACAGACACUUAUUCUUAUAUAGGAAAGAUCAUCAUUCAGUGUAACGAAGGCUCAGUUAUUGCAUUUUACUCUGUCCUGGGUUACCUGGGGAUUCUGGCAGCUGUUAGUUUUAUUGCAGCUUAUUUAGCCAGGACAUUGCCGGACAGCUUUAAUGAGGCCAAGUACAUAACUUUCAGCAUGCUGGUGUUCUGCAGUGUUUGGAUUGCGAUGAUCCCAGCUUAUCUGAGCACCAAAGGGAAAUACAUGGUGGCUGUAGAGGUUUUUACUAUAUUGGCUUCAAAUGCUGGACUCUUAGUCUGUAUAUUUUUUCAAAAAUGUUACAUAAUGAUUUUUAGGCCAG